rnacentral:misc_RNA from 1 species
AAAAGUCGUAACAAGGUUUCCGUAGGUGAACCUGCGGAAGGAUCAUUAAUUACGAAAGCUUCGGUCCCCCCGGGGGCUGUCGCAUCCACCCUUUGUCUACGUGUACCUCUGUUGUUUCCUCGGCGGGCUCGCCCGCCGCCAGGAACCCCUCAAACCCUUGUAUUUACAGUAUUCAAUCUCCGAUAACCUUUUAAAUUAUUACAACUUUUAACAAUGGAUCUCUUGGUUCUG